GAGUUUGAUCAUGGCUCAGGAUGAACGCUGGCGGCGUGCUUAACACAUGCAAGUCGAACGAACCUUCGGGUUAGUGGCGGACGGGUGAGUAACGCGUGGGAAUCUGCCCUCAGGAGGGGGAUAACGGUUGGAAACGACCGCUAAUACCCCAUAUGCCGAGAGGUGAAAUGAAUUUCGCCUGAGGAUGAGCCCGCGUCUGAUUAGCUUGUUGGUGAGGUAAUGGCUCACCAAGGCUUCGAUCAGUAGCUGGUCUGAGAGGAUGAUCAGCCACACUGGGACUGAGACACGGCCCAGACUCCUACGGGAGGCAGCAGUGGGGAAUUUUCCGCAAUGGCGAAAGCCUGACGGAGCAACGCCGCGUGAGGGACGAAGGCCUCUGGGCUGUAAACCUCUUUUCUCAAGGAAGAAGAUAUGACGGUACUUGAGGAAUAAGCCACGGCUAAUUCCGUGCCAGCAGCCGCGGUAAUACGGGAGUGGCAAGCGUUAUCCGGAAUUAUUGGGCGUAAAGCGUCCGCAGGCGGCCUUUCAAGUCUGCUGUUAAAACGUGGAGCUUAACUCCAUCAUGGCAGUGGAAACUGAUUGGCUUGAGUAUGGUAGGGGCAGAGGGAAUUCCCGGUGUAGCGGUGAAAUGCGUAGAUAUCGGGAAGAACACCAGUGGCGAAGGCGCUCUGCUGGGCCAUUACUGACGCUCAUGGACGAAAGCCAGGGGAGCGAAAGGGAUUAGAUACCCCUGUAGUCCUGGCCGUAAACGAUGAACACUAGGUGUCGGGGGAAUCGACCCCUUCGGUGUCGUAGCUAACGCGUUUAAGUGUUCCGCCUGGGGAGUACGCACGCAAGUGUGAAACUCAAAGGAAUUGACGGGGGCCCGCACAAGCGGUGGAGUAUGUGGUUUAAUUCGAUGCAACGCGAAGAACCUUACCAGGGCUUGACAUCCUGCGAACCUUUAAGAAAUUAGAGGGUGCCUUCGGGAACGCAGUGACAGGUGGUGCAUGGCUGUCGUCAGCUCGUGUCGUGAGAUGUUGGGUUAAGUCCCGCAACGAGCGCAACCCACGUUUUUAGUUGCCAGCAUUUAGUUGGGCACUCUAGAAAGACCGCCGGUGAUAAACCGGAGGAAGGUGUGGAUGACGUCAAGUCAUCAUGCCCCUUACGUCCUGGGCUACACACGUACUACAAUGCUACGGACAAAGGGCAGCAAACUCGCGAGAGCUAGCAAAUCCCAUAAACCGUGGCUCAGUUCAGAUCGUAGGCUGCAACUCGCCUACGUGAAGUAGGAAUCGCUAGUAAUCGCAGGUCAGCAUACUGCGGUGAAUACGUUCCCGGGCCUUGUACACACCGCCCGUCACACCAUGGAAGUUGGCCACGCCCGAAGUCGUUACUUUAACCCUUGUGGAGAAGGACGCCGAAGGUGGGGCUGAUGACUGGGGUGAAGUCGUAACAAGGUAACC
rnacentral:rRNA from 1 species